ACCCAUAUAGCUCAGGGUGUACAACAUGAGACUCUUAACCUCAGGGUUGUGGGUUCAAGCCCCAUGUGGGGCA